CGAACGCUGGCGGCGUGCUACUACAUGCUAAUCGAACGCUUUUGUUUUCACCCGGAGCUUGCUCCACCGAAAACAAAAGAGUCGGCGGACGGGUGAGUAACACGUAGGGUAACCUGCCCUCAAGCGGGGGAUAACACUUGGAAACAGGUGCUAAUACCGCAUAACAAUCAAAGUCGCAUGAUUUUGAUUUGAAAGUGCGCUUUUGCGUCACUUGAGGAUGGACCCUGCGGUGCAUUAGCUACGUUGGUGAGUGUAAACGGCUCACCAAAUGCCACGAUGCCUAGCCGACCUGAAGAGGGUGAUCGGCCACACUGGCGACUGAGACACGGGCCAGACUCCUACGGUGAGUGCAGCAGUAGGGAAUCUUCGGCCAUGGACGAAAGUCUGACCGAGCAACAGCCGCGUGACGUGACACGAAGGUUUCGGAUCGUAAAACUCUGUUGUUAAGAGAAGAACAAAGGGGUGACGAGUGGAAAGUUCACCCCUUGACGGUAUACUAACCAGAAAGCCACGGGUAAACUACGUUGCCACCACAGCCGCGGUAAUACGUAAGUCGGCAAGCGUAGAACCGGAUUUAUUAGGGCCGUCAAGCGAGUCAUG
rnacentral:rRNA from 1 species